rnacentral:rRNA from 1 species
AGAGUUUGAUCCUGGCUCAGGAUGAACGCUAGCGGGAGGCCUAAUACAUGCAAGUCGAGCGGUAGAGUCCUUCGGGACUUGAGAGCGGCGCACGGGUGAGUAACGCGUACAUGACCUGCCUUUAAGACCGGGAUAGCCCUGGGAAACUGGGAUUAAUACCGGAUGUGAUAAUAUGUAUAGAGAUAUAUUAUUAAAGUUGAGGCGCUUAGAGAUGGGUGUGCGUUUGAUUAGCUAGUUGGUAGGGUAACGGCCUACCAAGGCGACGAUCAAUAGGGGGCGUGAGAGCGUGACCCCCCACACGGGUACUGAGACACGGACCCGACUCCUACGGGAGGCAGCAGUAAGGAAUAUUGGUCAAUGGACGGAAGUCUGAACCAGCCAUCCCGCGUGCAGGAUGAAGGUCCUAUGGAUUGUAAACUGCUUUUAGCAGAGACGAAACGCCGACAUUUAUGUUGGUCUGACGGUAUCUGCGGAAUAAGCACCGGCUAACUCCGUGCCAGCA